UGUAUAAAAUUUGUAACCUAUGCUUCUGCUCUUGGCUUUUCUAUGCUUUUAAAAUAAAGUGUAGAAUCUAUGCUUUUGUUUUUAAUAUUUUUAUCUAUGUAAUUUAGGCAAACCUGAGCAACGAAGUGCAAAGAAAAGGGUUAAGGAUCAAACAAUUAAAUUUUCAGCUUAUUUUACUUAUAAAUGAAUGGUAUUUCGUGCAUCUAGUAUUUUACCAAUUACCUGUCUGUGAGACCCAGAAAGUUUACCAGUACAGUGCCAUUUUAAAAUCUUAAUUAAUAUUAAUUAAAAGUGAUAUUGAUUAAUUAGUUCUUUUUGUUUUUUUUUUACAAAUUGAUGUAUAAUCUCUGCUGUAUGGUUUCUUCGUUACUAGUAUGGAUAUAAUUACUAAGCAUCUGCAAAUUUUAUGCGUCUUGUCUUGAAGUGGAGGAUCUUGUAACAUAGAAAAGGAUUCGACAUUACUUUGGUUGUAGCAAUCGUCAUUCGCCCCAGAAAACAGCUGUAGCUACGGUCCUAAAGAAAACAUGAAAGUGGCCUUUUUUGAUUGGGAACGGAGACAGUGUGUUGCUAAAGAAAGAUUUUAUGACAAUGAACUGAUUAUGGGACAAGUGAGGGAAUUGCAGUUAAUUUUGAUGCUGCUGAAACAACCGAUGCUUUUGAGGUCUUUACCUUGCAACAUUGUGCAAUUAGUUUGGCCCUGAGAAUGGGAGGUAAUUGGAAAGUGAGUCACUGAAACAACGAAUUAUCUGCAGUGGCAUCCCUCCUGGAUUUGGUUUGCUCAUCACACUUGUAGACUCUAGAAUGCAACUUUUUGCAGGUAAUUAAGAUUGACCAACAAGUAAAAGAGAAUUAGAAGUUAAUUUUGACCUUAGUGAUGACCAUAAGCGAAGUGUGCAUUGAUAGCUUUCUGAAUUUGGUUUACUUUUUGCUUGAAUGAACUUUGGAGCGUUACACUCUGCAGAUUGGCCAAGAAAUCAAGAGUAGAAGAGUGUUCAUUUUGGUGUUACUAAAAAAGCAAGGUAUCUGCUGUUAACUUUUCAUCUUGGAGAAUUUUAUACUUAAUUAAGGGAAAUUAGAAAAACUCCUAAUGCCACUAAAUGUUGGUUGUAUCAGCCCUUAUUCGCUCCAGAAAGUAGAUGUACCUAUGGUUCCAAAUAAUACACGAAAAUGGUUUUUUCCCUUUGGGAAUAGAAAUCAAUUAAAAAUAGUAAAUGAGGUCCCAGAAACUUCAAUUUCUCGGAUAUUUGUAACUUCCUUCAAUAGACAAUUUUUAAACAUAGUUUCAAAAAUUGCAUCAAUGUUAAUGUGACUGAUUUACUUGCUUUAUAAGUGGUAAUUAAUUACUUUUUCUUGCUAGUUUCUAUAGACUAUCCAACAAAUGAGGGAAUUCCAGUCUCGCCUUGCAACAUUGUGCAGUGAAUCAUUAAUUUUGGCAACUGGAAAAUAGUUUUGAAGUCACUGAAACAACAAGUUGUCUGCAGUGGUAUCCAUCUUGAAUUUGAUUUUCUUAUCACAUUGGUAGUUUCUAGAAUGCUACUUUUUGCAGUUAUUUAAGGAUACCCAACAAAUGAGCUAGAAUUAAAGUUGAAUUUGGUCGUUCUGAAACAACCGAUUUCUACAUGGGUGUGGUCUUUCAUGGAUUAUAUUGUUGAUGUGCAGUUUUCGUUUUUACAACAUUAUGCAGUCAAUUUUCAACCGAUGAGUUAGUACAACUGGAAAUCUGUGUGAAUUCCACCUAAAUAACGAACUUACUGUAUGGCAUUUCUCCUGUAUUUGGUUUGCUUUUCACACCUGCAAGUUUUGGAACGUUACAGUCUACAGUUAAUUAAGAUCGACGGUGGAGAAGACAAAGAAG